rnacentral:lncRNA from 1 species
UUGGAACCCGGUUUGACUGUCUAAUAUCAAACACAAAAAUGAUAAAUAGCAUCUUAACCGCAACCAAUCACCCAAAAAGGGCUUGGAACCCGGUUUGGCUAUUUAUCCAACAAUCAUAAUAAUUUCACAACAUUAACCUCACAACACAUUAUCACAAUUAUUAUUGUCAACAACAUGAUAUAUCACACAUUAUUAUUCUCAACAUCACAAUAUAAAGAAGACUUGUUUUUAUCUUACCUAUAAGCCGUUGGCGAUCAAGCUCAUAUAUUUUUUUAAAAACAAUUAAAAGAAUAAUAAUAAAACCACCAUCAUCAUCAUUAUCAUUAUAUCAUUAGGUUCAAAAGUGAACCUUGGUGAGAUUUACUCACCUAAGUAUCCAGCUGCAAUUUCCACAACCAAAUUUAGCAAGCGAAACACAACUUCACAACCACCUAAAAACACACGAUUAAAACUUUAGUAACUAAAAUACUAUAGGUUAACACAAUACCCUUAACUAACCCUUAAUUCAAGAGAUGACAACUUUCCAAAGUCGUCGAACUUAGAGACCCACAAAGGCUGCCUCUAAUCCUCCAUUCCUAACUUAAACCUCCAACAAACCUAAAAUCACACUUAACGUUCUAGCAUGCCAACAUUUCUUAAAAACUAGCCACACUACCACUCAACAAGCUCACAGCAGUAAGGACUACCUAACCACAGGAAACUAGGGCUGCAACUCAACCGGAAGCCCCGCCACAGGCGGCGGCGAGUGGGCCUCACGCGCCACCCCAAACUUCCGAAUUUGAGAAAACUCCCAACAGCAAAGUUGAAGCUUGAAGCAAGGGGAACAACUUUCAUACCUGAGACUUCGACCAAAAAAUGGCCGGAACCGGCCGGAAACCGCCCCGAACAGUGACCAGAAAAUCAAAGGCAAAAUCUGCAAAACCGGCCUCAAAACCUUAAAAACUUGCUUCAAUCCAUGCCUAAACACUACCAGGGGAAGGAGAGGAUCAAGACUCACCUAAGGAUGUACCCCGUCG